rnacentral:piRNA from 1 species
UUAAAUAAAGUGUGGUUUUGCUCCUGUGA